rnacentral:rRNA from 1 species
AGUUCGGAUUGUAGGCUGAAACUCGCCUACAUGAAGCUGGAAUUGCAAGUAAUCACAGGUCAGCAUACUGUGGUGAAUACGUUCCCGGGCCUUGUACACACCGCCCGUCACACCAUGAGAGUUGAGAAUACCCGAAGCCCAUGUCAAAGUGGUCAAAGGUAGGCUUGAUGAUUGGGGUGAAGUCGUAACAAGGUAGC